CAUGGUCCAAUAAAGUGAGGUUAUGAGUCAAAGUGAAAAAGCAAAAAGAGAAAACUUCCAAAUUAACUUAGUUGUGCAGUAAAAUUAGUGCAUUAGUAGUAAAAUUUAUUUUUCUUACUACUGAAAAAGUCUUGAUGAGAGUCUUCAAUUCAAAUAAGUCAGGUUGAAAGGUCUGGUAUCAGCGUCUAUAUUUAUAGUAGUACGAUUAGAGUCGCACAAAGUGUAGCCUAGGCUGCACAUGUUUGUAUUGAUGUAAAUGAUGUCAUCAUUAGCAGAUAGUGAUUAUGAGCCGAAUGAUUCCAUUGAUAGUGACCUUUACAACGACGAUAUAUGCGUACCUGAGCCUGAUCACAGUGAGGUAUUCUCGAGAUCAGGUCACGUGGCAAUAGCAUUCGAAAACGAGCUUAUCGUCUGGGGCGGUACUCGCUGUGUUUCCGCACCAGCUAAUGAUUACUGUGAUCCAAAUAUACUAUGGGUAUACAAUACUCUGAAUGAUGUCUACACCAAACAUGCCAUUUUCGGUGUAGCACCCCCUGGAAGCUGUGGCUCUUGUGCUGUUAUACAUGACGGCUCAUUGUAUAUAUUUGGAGGAUUUACUCAAACUGGUGAGACGUAUCACAACCUGGAGUACUCGAAUCUCCUUCACCGACUGGACUUGACGGCCAACAGACUCACGUGGAAUCACAUUUCUCCCAAAGGCACGAGUCCGCUUCCCUGUGAUAAGUUGGCCGGCUGGGUGUAUGGCGACAAGCUGUACUUCUUCGGAGGGUUCGGCCGGCACGUGGCGAGCUUCGCCGACUCGCAAUGGAUACCCGAAGAGCAGCCAACCGGCCGCGGCUGGAACAACCAGCUGUUCUGUUACGACCCCGCCACCAAGCAGUGGCAGUGGCCGCGCACCUACGGGCCCAAGCCGCAACCAAGGGCGGCCCACUCGGCCGCCAUCCAGGGCAACUGUGUCUACGUGUUCGGCGGCCGACUCGACGACGUCCGCAACGACCAGCUGCACCGGCUCAACAUGGACACCAUGACCUGGAGUGGAGACCUGAAAUGCAUGAUGAAGGGUCCCCAUUGGCCGCCUGGGCGCUCGUGGCAUACAUUCACAUUCACCGCGCCCAAUGUAGCUUUCAUCCAUGGAGGACUGUCCAACUCCGACCAAACCCUAGAUGACGUGUGGAAGCUUACCAUUGAAGAUGAUGCGAUUGAAUGUGAAAUGCAGCCAAGCCACAUCAUAGAGGGAGGCGCAGCCUGCCCGCUACUAUGGCAUAAGAGUGUUUUCUUUCAAAAAGGAAACGAAAUCAUCACAAUUGGAGGCCUCAAAGAGCUGAAUAAUAAUGAGUAUUCCAAUCAUCCUGAAAGAUUGCUCAACUUACGUCUUUCACCAAAAUCAUUGUUUAGGCAAAGUCUUGAUGCGCUGAAGAGAUGUGGCCAAUUGCCUGAAGCAGCACUCAACAGUUUGCCUGCACAGUUGAAAGUCACCGUUAGCAGAAGAAUGCCGGAGACAGAUUUUCACUUUUCAUUUUACGAUCGAGAUGAAUUCAACGAGUUCGACGAUGAUUUCUUCGAUUACGAUUUAGAUCAAGAUUAUGAUUUAAAUAACCAGGAAUUCAGUGAUUAUGAUGACUAUCUUGACUUUAUGGAAUUCCUCGAUUAUAGUGAUUAGUAUUGGUGAAGUCGAGUUUAUAAGAUUGUUACUCAAGAGUGGCAGCAAGUGCUCAACAUUGUUAUAACUAAAAGAGUGCUCUGCCUGGAUGCCCUGGAGAGAGAAGAAUUUUUGCCCGAGUCAGAUUACAAGAGUUUGCCAGCUCAGUUGAAGACCAUUGUCAGAAGGAGAUUGCUGAAGUCGAUAGAUUACGACGCUGAAAAUGAUUUCGAUGUGGAAGAGUUGAAUGCACAACCAUUUGAGAUGUUUGAUGAUCUCUACUAUGACUACAAUGGAGAUGAUGAAUACCUCGGUUAUGAUGACGACAUGUAUGGUGUAUUCGACGACGAAUACGAAGAAUAUGAAGCCAGUGAUUAGGUUUUGUGGUUUAUUCGUAAUCAUGUCACUGGAAUAAUAUUGUCACUUCGAGUGACAAGUGGUGAUUAUUGUAAAUAUUGGAUUGUGAAUAUUCGUUCUAGUUGCAGCUUGUGUGUACAUUGUAUUUCCUACUGUAAAUAAAAUCUGUUUU
rnacentral:misc_RNA from 1 species